UAAACAGUCCUUUUAAGGACUACCAAAUUAUUCAAAAAGAGUCUA
rnacentral:ncRNA from 1 species